GACGAACGCUGGCGGCGUGCCUAACACAUGCAAGUCGAACGAAAGGGCCGCUUUCGGGGGCUACUGGAGUGGCGAACGGGUGAGUAACACGCGAGUGACCUGCCCUUCUCUUUGGGAUGACUUCAGGAAACUGAGGCUAACACCGGACAGAAGAUCCUUCGGCAUGGUGGGGGCUGGAGUGUUUCGGGGGUUUGGGAUGGACUCGUGGCUUAUCAGCUUCGUGGUGGGGUAGUGGCUUACCAAGGGUUUGACGAGUAGCCGGCCUGAGACGGUGACAGGCCACAUUGGGACUGAGAGACGGCCGAGACUCCUACGGGAGGCAGAAGUGGGGAAUAUUGCACAAGGGGUGGAAGCCUGAUGCAGCAAGGCUGUGUGCGGGAUGACGGCGUUCGGUUUGUAAAACGCUUUCGCUCAUGACGAAGCUUUGUGUGACGGUAGUGGGUAAAGAAGCACCGGCUAACUACGUG
rnacentral:rRNA from 1 species